rnacentral:rRNA from 1 species
CUUGACUGUAUCCCGGAAUUGGGUUCGGGCUUUUCUUGCGCAGUCUAGGUGGGAGGCUAUGAAGUUUUCCUUCCGGGGAAGUUGGAGCCAACAGUGAGAGACCACUCUGGAGAGGCUAGAAUCCUAAUGGUGAUCCGUGAAUCCGGACACUUGACAGUUUCAGGUGGGCAGUUUUUCUGGGGCGGAAGCCUCAUAAAGGGUAACUGAGGCGCGCAAAGGUCCCCUCAGUCUGGACGGAAAUCAGACAACGAGUGUAAAGGCAAAAGGGGGCUUGACUGCAAGACCUACAAGUCGAGCAGGAGCGAAAGCUGGCCUUAGUGAUCCGACGGUACCGUGUGGAAGGGCCGUCGCUCAACGAAUAAAAGUUA